AUGUUGUGGCUCAGUGGUGGAGUGCUCGCCUAGUAUGCAUGAGGCACUGGGUUCGAUCCUCAGCACCACAUA
rnacentral:tRNA from 1 species